rnacentral:misc_RNA from 1 species
CGAAAUGCGAUAAGUAGUGUGAAUUGCAGAAUUCAGUGAAUCAUCGAAUCUUUGAACGCACAUUGCGCCCUUUGGUAUUCCUUAGGGCAUGCCUGUUCGAGCGUCAUUUAACCCUUCAAGCAUUGCUUGGUGUUGGGCGCUUGUCCCGCCUCGGGCGCGGACUCGCCUUAAAAACAUUGGCGGCCUGUGUAUUGGCUUCGAGCGCAGCAGAUUCGCGCCUUCGACCCAGCACACUGGCAUUCCAGCAAGUUCUUUCACCCAAUUUUGACCUCGGAUCAGGUAGGGAUACCCGCUGAACUUAAGC